CUCGCACCCGUGCUUCUCUACCUGUGACCUCAUCCCAUCGUCACAAGAGCCCUGUGUGGUACAUGGAAUUUCGUAGGAAAGGAAACUGCUGUUCAGUGAAGGGAGGAACCUGCCCAGACAGGCCUGGGAACCUGCCAGCAAGGCAGUCCACCACCACGUCCUUUUGCCUCUGGCCGCGGCACACUGGAGGGAAGCCGUGGGGCCCUGCAGGGAACCCUGCCUUGUCCAGACUCUGCAAGGUGCCUCUGCAGGGCUUCUGGCGUCCCUUCCACAGGAGCUAUUUGCAACCCUGGGAAUUGUAGAGAACUUCUGUCCUGCCUGGAGAGGCUUGACUGCCCCUGUGGGCCCUGCUGAGAGGCUGGCUCUGCUUCCAUCUGUACUUCAUGCUCCUCACUCCGUGUGAACUCCUGCCACUGGGACUGCCUCUGAGAACCAGUCACAGCACCUGCCAGCUUCCCUCAUGGUGGCAUUGUCACCGCUGUGAUGAGACUGGACCGCGAGGAGGCAGCAGGAGGAGCGUGGCCACCUCUGCAAUUGACACCAAAGCCCAACCUUUUAUGUGAGAGCGUGGCAGGCUUCCUGAGGUAAACUCUUGACUAACUCACUAGUGACGUGCUGAUUUUCCAAUUUACAAAGGGCUGGAUAAUUAUUAACAUUUUUUUUUCACAUUAGUGGGAGGCAUUCUGAGCAUAUCACUUAAGGACUGCACUAGAGGAAAACAUGGAGUGAACUCGCUGACAACGAUUUUUGAAAUCCAGGGUAAUUAGUUCCAUCAGAACAAUCCCAAUUACAUUCCUAAUUCUCUCUGCCUUGCUGAAAGCACCGAAAGUGAACCAUGUUGGUGUCAUUAUAUUCCUGCUCAGAAGAGUCUUUAUCACCAGCGCUGGGAAUGGAGGAGGGGUUGAGGAAGGGGCCAGUGCCCAGGUUGUGGGAAGCCCCCACAAGGGGACCAAGCCAAUGAUACCAGCGUGGCACAAGGGCCUGAAAGUCAAAGAGUGGCCAGUGCGGGGUGAGGAAGGGGACCAAGUUUCUGGUCGUCUCCCGAGGAAUUCAAGUAACACUCAUGUGAGGACAUUUAUAACGUCAGCUCCAGAGACAUCUUGGUAGCCAAAUGAGGAAAGAAAAUAACUUUCAUCUGAGGAAUUUGAGACCUUUCAAAUUAUUACAGCCAGAGAGACAUUAAAAUGGGACAAUAAGCCAAACACAGUGGCUCACGUCUCUAAUCACAAUGCUUUGGGAAGCCUAGGUGGGAGGGGCGCUUGAACCUAGGAGGUCAAGACCAGCCCGGGCAACACACAAGACCCCAUCUCUGCAAAAAAAUACAAAAAUUAGCCAGGUUGUGGUGGCGUGCACCUGUAUUCCCAGCCACUCAGAAGGAUGAGGUGGGAGGAUUGCUUGAGCCCAGGAGGUCAAGGCUGCAGUGAGCUGUGAUUGCACCACUGCACUCCAGCCUGGGUGACAGAGCAAGACCUUGUCUCAAGAAAAAGACAUCAAUCACUCCCCCUUUUUAACUAUGUAUUCAUCUCUUGGAACUGCUUGCUAUUGCCACAAGUAGCUAUAAAUUAACUUAAUAAUGCCACACUGAAUACUAGAACCCACACUCUAUGGCUUAACAAUGUGUAGCCAUUGAUCAAUAUCAUUUCUGUAAACCAAUGAGAAUUCCUGGCAGACAGCUGUGUAUCAGCCCAUUCCCUGUCCCUUUUACCUUUAAAAAUCCACUUGUAAGUGCUGCUAAUCAGAGUGUUCAUUCAGGGGAACUUGAAUCUAUGUUCUUGGGUUGCAGUCUUCAAGCUUGGACCCAGUUACUUCUCUACUUUUACCAAUUUUGCCUCAGCUUCUUCCUUUUAGGCCGACAUAAACUAAUCCAACAAGUUCAUGUUUACUCAAUCAGAACAAGAUGUGUUGUUCAACCGGCAUUUCCUGCGUGUCAGGGGGUAUAGAGUUCACCUGUAAGGUCAGGGAUGUCGCCCGAUUAGAUCAACAGAGAUCCACCUGGGGGUGGCUGAUGUGCACUACCUCACAUAGCCAGCAGAGGGCAGUGCAGUGCCAAUAGCUGCAGCUUGGCCAUUGACACCUGUAGAAAGAAUCUCAUGUUCAGAAGUCAUUUUACCUUCUGCCUUGUCCCGGAGGAGGGUGCUCAGGCCACAGGCUCUGUGACAGCUCCCCCAGCGAGACAGACUUCCAGGCAGUGCAGAGACAAAACACCUCAAAAACAAACUAGCCCUUUUCUUACUAAUAGCAGCCUCCUCUUUAGCCUUAAAUUCUAUUUCUGUGUGGUUUUUUUUCUCUGCUUUAUCAAAGAUGUCCUCCUAGGAAGUGGCGGGCCCACCUGGCCACACUUGCCUGGGUUGAGGUGUGAAAGAAAUUAACCUGCAAGUCCCCUACUGCCUGGGGCAAUGGUCCGCACCUGCAUCCUCAGCCUGCCCCAGAGCCUGGUGAUAAACAUCAUCUGGUUGGUCAGAGGAUAGAAAGGCUAUCCCACACUGGGUCCUGCACCCACAGGGGCAUGGUGACAUCCAGUUGAAGUCUGGGGGCACUUGGUAAUUUGGAGACAGAUGAGCGCACAAUAGUAGCAAGUCCAGCCCCUGCAGCUCGUGCUGGAGUGAGAAGCCAGGAGCAGAGCCUUUAGCAUGCUGCCCUGGGUGCACAGAUGACUGCACAGCCACAUCCCAGGACCCUGAAGUCUCCUUGAGGGUUCCAAUUUCUCCUGGACAGCUUCAACAAAGGGACCAAGAAGUGCUGAGGGAGAAAUGGAAGGAGACUCACUCUCCACCCUAAGCAAAUCUGUAUUACAGACCCUAGAGCUUGAGAAGGUGGAAGGGAAGGAAGUUUUUGAUUGGGACAAGGAUCUCUCUUGCUCUUAGCACUUAGAAGGGCAUGUGGGCUCAGUAGAUGCUGAAUGACCCUCAUUUUGGGUUGAAUCUCAGAAUCACAGGGAAGGCACAUUAAAGAGUGCACAGACCACACACAUGCACCCACACCAAGGUCCCCACACACCUCCCUGGCCACUCCAAGUCACACAGCAAACUGCUAAGCAGAGCCCCUGAGCAUGGGAGUGUCCCUCAGAGCCCACCAGGAAAUAAGCCCAUCUCAAGGACAGGAAACAAUAAAUACCAGAAAGUGGCCACACUGAUGUGGGGAGAGUUGAGAAGUCAGCCAGGAGCCUGGGCAACCCACAAGCCAGUGAAGACCCAAGACCCAGCUGCCCCUGAGCUGGGGACCUAGGCCUGCCCAAGUAGCUGCUGCCAGACUCACCCGAGACAGACAGAGGGGCCACCCUGGAUUCUCCCCUCCACUAUAAGGUGCAACCGAGAAGGAAGCUAAGAGACACGGAGUCUAGGAAUGUCAGUGUGAGGCCAGGAAUGAAUGCAAGGCUGACAAGCCAUGGACAGAAACAAUAGGACAAGCUGUCUUGAGCCCAGGUGUCCCGUUUCCCAUCCCUAGGUACUUGGAUCAAGACACUAGCAUUGUGGACAAUGGGUGGGAGGAUUACUGUCGUGUGAUUAAGCUGGUGUGGAUGGUUUUGGGAAUGUGUGUGACUAUAAUUUGGAAACUGUGUAUAUGCCUGUUUAGGUACGCAUUAUUUCUCAAACACCCCUGCUGUCUGCUUCAUUGGUUUUCAGUCAUCUCUCAUUGCAAGUGGUGCAUGGAAUUUUUUUAAUGUAUCAGGA
rnacentral:lncRNA from 1 species